ACUACAGGCGCCCACCACCAUGCCCGGCUACUUUUUUGUAUUUUUAGUAGAGAUGAGGUUUCACCGUGUUAGCCAGGAUGGUCUCGAUCUCCUGACCUCGUGAUCCGCCCACCUCGGCCUCCCAAAGUGCUGGGGUUACAGGUGUGAGCUACCGCGCCCAGCCGAAGCACAUCUUUUUUAAAAAACUAAUUAAAGAGAUGCCAUGCUCAUGGCUGGGAAGUUAAUGUAAAAACCAUCCUCCUCCCCCUCAUUAGUUAUAACUUUAAUGUAAUCUCAAUCAAAAUUGCAUGGGAUUUUCUAGAACUUGGUAAACUAAAAUUCAUAUGGGGGAGAAGGCAAUCAUCCUAAAAGUUUUAAAAGCUUACAAGAUAUUUAAAGAUCACCCUAAGACUCAGAUAAGAUGAAAUAUCCAGGGAGGGAAGUCAAUGUUAGGGCCACUUUUGUCCAAGGUGGUGUUUCCUGGCCUCGACGGUGACCCUGAGAGACUGCGUAUGGGGAACGAAGGAGUUGGAGUGUGGAGCUCUCGUGGGCAGGGGUGGAACAGUCCCUGCAAAGCUGCCCCAUGUGAACUUCAGCCUGGCUUCAAGCCAUCCCAAUGCUCCCAGAACCCCAAACCCUGAAAUUACAGUCAGGCGAUUGCAACAUUAAAACAUGUUUAUCUUCUUUAGACAAAAUACUCUAAACUGAGAUUCUUUAGUUAAUAGGUGUGAACAUUUUUAUGACAAUGGAUAUGUAUCAAUAUGUAUUUCAGUGUCAUCAUGUACUAAUGUAAACCAGUUUAAUGCUGCCCUAAAACAAUGUAUACCAAUUACACCAUCAUUUUCCAGAAGUGGGGAUUAUACUUUUAAAAAACUGCUUUAGUAAUUGAAAAUAGUAACUGCAGCCUCAGACUCCUGGGCUCAAGAGAUCCUUCUGCCCCUGCCCCGCAAGUAGCUGGGACUACAGGUGCACACCAUGCCUGGCUUCUCAUUUCUGUGCUAAUUACAUUUGUCAGUUGGCCUGUGAGUGUCCUGACAGUACUGGCUCCAGCAGCAGCUUCUGUUCCUGGCUUCUCAGAAAUUUGCACACCACAAUGACUGAACGCUGCCAGUGGGGAUUCCCGUCACCGGCCUGGCCCCAGUGUAUCUUCAAGAAUGACUCGUCUGGCACAGCGGGAGCAGGUGGUGGAUACGAGGGCCACUUUCCUCCAGUCUGGGAUUCUUACUGGACAAAUUAACACAGUACAAUCCCUGGUUUGAGGCUUGUACCUAAGAAUCUAACAAAUUGCUUUUUCUAUCCCAAUUAAGAGAAAGCACUAGAAACUAUUCCUUUUCUCAGCAGAGUCAUGGUGCAGACUGCAGCUUUGUCUCAGGCUAUGACACUCCGGCUUACUGUCAGGACUCAAACCAAACAGGACGCCUGGUCAGGCUGCCCUCUCCUCAACUUCCUCUCUCAGCAUCGAAAUCGCAGCGCGCCUCUCCCACCCUCAGGGGCCCACUGCCCAAUGACACCUGCCCAGCCUCCUCCUGGUGGCUAAGGGGCACCGCCUCAGCACCCCCAGGUCUGCCCCUCUUUGGGCAGGUCUCUGCCUCCUCCUCUGCCCCACACCCACCUGCUCCAUCCCCGCCCCACCCCAGUUCCCGUGUGGCAGAUGCUGUCCUGCAGCUCAGAGCCCAGCUCACCCUGAAAAUCUCCAAGGCCCAGCCAGGGGUCUGGCCCAGGCUUGCAGCCCACCCAGAGGAGCCCAGGGGACCUCUCGCCUCUGCCUGAGCCAUGCAGGCUUCAUCUUCCGUGGAUGAAGAGCUCAGCCUGGCCAGAGCCUCCCCAUGCUCCGCACUAAGACGUGCUUCUGAGACACCAUCCGGCAGGACAGGCUUUCAGUUGCCAAGGGCCCCACAGGCUGUCCCUGCUUCUGGAACUCUCUUCCCCUGGCCGGCCCCUCGUCCUUCAGCAGGAGGAAAACACUCUUUCACACAAGCCCUCCUUAUCUACCAGCCUGGGCUGCACCCGCAAAGGGUCUGUGUUUCGGGUUCCAGUGUGUGGCGGCGUGUGGUGGUGUGUGGCGGCAUGUGGUGAUGUGUGGCAGCAUGUCACAGUGCUCCAAGCUGUGAGUCGGGUGCCUUCCCUGGUGCUGCUCUCUCAGAAAGCUCUUCCUGCAUUUCCUGCAGUCCAGGAAGUUCUCAUCGGGACUGGCAGGGAGUUUGGAAUUUUGAGUUUUUAAGAAUCAGUUAGACACUUAUGCAGCCAAAAGACAUAUGAAAAAAUGCUCAUCAUCACUGGCCAUCAGAGAAAUGCAAAUCAAAACCACAAUGAG
rnacentral:lncRNA from 10 species